AAAUCAAAUGCAACCGCCCGCAGCCGCAAAUGCUUGCGGGAAGGAGCUUUUGAAAUCAAGCGAUCUCGAACGGUUCAAAGCGGCAUGGAGCGGUUUUUAUGAUUGGUACCAACGGCUAACAAGCGCUAAUAACCGCAAUCGACCACUAACAACCGCUAAGCGGGUUUUAGCGGGAAAACCAAUCAAGCUCUUAACGCAAAUUCAAGUAUUUAAGUGCAGUCCAAUUAAUGCAAAUUCAAGUACUUAAUGCAAAUUAACUAUGGACACAUGUUAUUCCACCAACCUCCAUCGCACAAGAGCCCAACUCCAUAAUUGCAGGAAAUCUUAUCUUAACAAUAAAAUUUUGUUUGCUCACCUGGGUAAAAGGGACAAUCAUCAAUCAACCAAUUUUAACCAAACGCUAGAACUUCCAGCAAAUUCGGGUAAAGAGAAAUUGAUUAAAUUGAAGAGUCCAUAACUGAUUGUCUAGCAUAUUGAAGCUCUGGAUACCAUGGAACAACGACGAAAAGGCAAUCAACAUCAGCAUAGCAAAAGAAGCUAUAAUCACCAAACAAAGGCAUAAUCGAAACCAUAAACCUUCUUGAGUUUAGGACAACGACGAAGCGGCAGAUCCAACAAAGCAAGCCAUGAGAGAAAUCGCACCCGAAACAAAAACAGUAAACAUGAAGAAGCAAACGGCAAAAAAGCCGAUAAGAAGCCGACCAUCGCCGCUUUGAAAGCCAUCGAUGACGGACGAGAGCUGGCUAACACCACUAAAAGAGUGAGGAGCUGCCAGACGAUAAGCCCGCAUACUCGGGAUAUGGAAACCGGAAAAACCUUCGGACGACAAGAGAAUUCAUCAACUUUCUCUCUCUAAAAGAUUUUUCAGAGAAAUGAGAGAUUGGGUUAUCGGACGAUUAAUAAUAUCUACAUAUACAUAUUUUUUUGUUGACUUUUUCCCCAAAGAUCCCUAUACUAUUUACUAAUAACAUACAAGCCCUUAAAA
rnacentral:sRNA from 1 species